ncrna:unclassified sequences Flavobacterium-1 RNA
CCGAGAUAGGCGUACAAAUCUUGCCAAAGGCAUUUCCCUGGACGUUAGCGAUGAUCCGAAAGGUAGCGACGAUGCUCGGCGUUCAGAGGUGGCGAGUUCCGAUCUAGAGGGAUGCCACCCGGAC